UAUGUAUGUUGCCUACGUAUCAUGUCCCUCAUGAAUCUGAUCAAGCGUAGUUCUGAAAAAAUGAUGGAUAAAAUAAACUAAAAAACAAAAAUCUUUUUGGAUUUUUCAUUUAAUUUUUUUUUUGGUUUUUCAAAUACAAAAUGGGAAGUAAUAUCACAAAAGAAUCGAUAUUACUGUACAAGACCAGAAAGUAAAAGACAACAUGAAUGACAGACUCAAAACAUAAAAGUAUCUAUAAGCAGCUCCUAAAUGCAGUGGUCCUGGGUAUUUGUCAUGCUUGAGAUCUGGUACAUUGAUCCACACCUGAAUGAGAAAAAUAAGACCAAAUAGAUCGGUGACUCAAGGCACUAUGCGACGCCACAACACCUCCUACUGGACACAUGCAAGACAUAAUCGGGCUACUUUUGCAAAAUUAACCUAUGUGGCAAAGGAUGACUAGAAGUGUAUAUUCAACAAGAUUGACCUCAAAGAUAUGGAAAUACCUCGCUAAAGCUUAUAUGGAUUCAACUCCUAAUAAUCAUGGCCCAAAAUAAUUUGCAGAAAUGAUCCAUUUUGCAAAACGGCCGAUAUGGCCAGAAAUGGCUAAAGAUGCAAACUCAAUAAGGACGGACGUUAAAGUAAUAUGACACCUAGUUGUGGACUUAAGAUCCUAAGACAUGAGUUAUUGAACCACUUUUGCGAAAAUGACCCCAUUUUACAAGAAUGACCGAUGUGACCAAAAGUGGCUAGAUAUGCAAGAUUUGGCUAAGACCCCGCAAAGCCAAGAAUCUAAAACUUACUAAGAAGACCGGACCCUAUGUGGGCUGCCGACGUAUUCCGCCCCGAAAGACGAGAAUCAGGUAUGCGUAGUUCGGGAAGAUUGGAUAUGGGAGAAAGCUUAAAAAUGACACUAAUUUGGAAAAAAUAUAUUUUUUGUCUUUUUCUUUUAAAAAAAAUGAUGAAAAAUAUAAAAUCUUUUUUGAUUUUCUUUUUCUCAUUUUUUUUGAAUUUUUGAAAAAUGAUGGAAAAUGUAAAAAAAAAUUGGAUUUUCUUUUUCAAUUUUUUUUUUGUUUUUUUUCUCGAAAAAGUUGUGAAAGAAAACUAUAACUAGGCCCUACUUGCUUCAUUUUUCACCCUUCUUUCCCAAACAUUGAUCCGCCAAAUGACUUUUUUACCCUCAAAGAUGCAACAUGUAUCACAUAGGGAUGAUUAAAUGUCUUUUUGGGCCACGGGCCCAUUUUGACAAAAUUUGGAUAAGCUUCCUACAAAGGGAUACGGUACCUGGGACCGAGCCCUACUAGGUCUAAAUGACAUGAUGCAAAUAAAAAUGAUCUAAAGGCUAACCUAAGUUUGUGGUUCACUAACAAGGCAAUUCGGGGGAGCGUAUGGUCGAUGGUGGCUGCUCAAGCUUUCCAUCCACUCCAUAAGUCCGACGGCCCCCCUCCUAAAUUAAGGGUUACUCAACAAAGAAUUCGUGCACGCGACGCGUACUCCGAGACUUGUUGCAAAAAGAAGACCCAUGGUUAUGCAAAUAAUGACAGUUUAUAAAGCAGUAACACAUUAAGAAAAGCGAUAAACAAAUAACCAACAAAACAAGGAAAUAAGACAAACAAAGCAAAUAAAGAAAACAAACACCUCAACCAAAUAUCCUAAAAGCCAACAAGAUCAAGUGUCAGCUCGAACCUGCAAGUCCCCAGCGGAGUCGCCAGAGAUGUCACACCAUUUUUUUUUACAAAACUCGCUAACCUCUCUAAAAUAAAUAAAAAUAUUUAGUAAAGCUCGAAAAAGGGGUUUUAAUUAAAAAGUGACAAAAUUUGUGUUCAAAAGGAAAUAACUCAGAGUCACCACCUGACAUUGGUUUCGGUGUGCCAGGUCACCAUUUUUUUUAAAAAUAAUUUUUCCUUUAAAACACUUUGGACUCCAAAACUAAGUCCGCACCAGAGAUUUGGGUAAGGGGUUCAUUUGACUCAGGGAGAAGGUGUUAAGCACUCCCCAAGUCCCGUGAAAGUCACGGUUGCGUACUCGGUCUAGUUGGCUUUUAAAAUAUUCAAGUUGAGGUAAAAUCACGGGAAAGCAAAAUAAACACACACGAGGCUCGAGGUCGUCCCCACCUAAUAAAAAGAAAAUAAAAAUGAAAAUGAAAAUGAAAAUAAAAAUAAAAAUAAAAAUACUACGAAUUCUAUUAUCGAUCUCCAAGUACAAAUACUUCGGGGCAUACCCCGGAAUAAAAUAUAUACAAAUCCUUCGGGGCAUUCCCCGGAUAAAUUUAACUAAAGGAACGACCUCUCGCCUCAAAACUAACAAAAAUCCUAAAGUUUGCCUACCCAGGUGCUACCGGACCUAAACAUGCUCUUAGCGAUUAAAUUCAUAAAUGGAUAAAGUAAAAGAAGCAAGAUUAUUUAAGCUCAAUUUCUUUCACAUUUUAAAAGCCAACCCCCUAUAACCCAUUUGCUCUAACAAUUCAUAUUACUAGAAUUUAUCCUACUUCAAUUCUUGAUUACUUUUCUGCCUAAAUAUUCUCUUAUCCAACAGAUACAAUUAGGAAUAAAGCCAACAGACAAACCAUAACUAAAUAUUUAUCAAAUGAAUUUCAAGUAAUAAGUAAACUAGGCACAAAUAAACAUAGUAGAGAAAUUAAUUAAAGUAAGUACUGAAAUAAUGUCAAAUUAGGAGGAGAAAGAGAAAUGGACCUCACUUAAGGUAGGAGCUUCUCCAAUUUUAAUUAAAAUUCCCAGCAAGAUGUACAACAAAUAAUCUGUCUCAAUUGAAUUGUGAUCGAACCACAACCGAAACUCGGAUCCACAACCUCGAACGACGAACUCACUAGGAACUCAACUGCAAGCUUUUGCCGAAACUCGGAUCUCUCAACCAAACCACAUUUCACUGCUUAGUGUCGAAUUAAUUUGAGGUCUAAGAGUUCUGAUUACUGAGGCAAAGCGUCGAGCAUGCGAACUGCAAACUUAUGAAAACCCUCAAAGCUGAGCACGGUGGAGGGUGGUGGCGGAGUUGGCGGCUGUCGUCGGUCAACAAGGAAAUGAAAAGAGAAUUGAAGUUUGAAAAGGAAGAUGACGUGUUUCAAUGUUUUUAAAAUAUCUAGUGGUCUGCUAGAAAUAAAAAGAAGAAAAAGUGGAGUCAGUUGUCAGCGAAUUCCUUAAUUUUGUCACUGUUUCAUCCCCCUCGUUUUCUCUAAGUUUUUUUUUCCAUUUCUUUGUGUCCGUCCCUUUUCUGUGUGCAUGUGUCCGGGUGUUCUUGUGUGAAGAUGGCUGCCUUCUUUUGUAAGGGAGAAAAAGAGGAUGUGAAGGUGCUCCCUCUCAAGAAUGAGGUUGAGAGCAUUUUAUACUAGGGUUUUCAAAAUGUAGUCUCUUUAUUAUUCAAGACAAAAAGAAAAUAUAUAAAAUAUAUAGCAAAUAUAGAAAGCAAAAUAAAGUAUGCAUUUUGAAUCUGUUCUUGGAAACAG
rnacentral:lncRNA from 1 species